rnacentral:rRNA from 1 species
CGGCAACAGCUCAAAUUUGAAAUCUGGCUCCUUCGGGGCCCGAGUUGUAAUUUGCAGAGGAUGUGUCGGGUACGGGUUCCCUCCGAGUUCCCUGGAACGGGACGCCAUAGAGGGUGAGAGCCCCGUCUGGUAGGAUACCCAGCCCGUGUGACACUCCCUCGAC